rnacentral:rRNA from 1 species
GACGAACGCUGGCGGCGUGCUUAACACAUGCAAGUCGAACGAAGAGCGAUGGAAGCUUGCUUCUAUCAAUCUUAGUGGCGAACGGGUGAGUAACGCGUAAUCAACCUGCCCUUCAGAGGGGGACAACAGUUGGAAACGACUGCUAAUACCGCAUACGAUCUAAUCUCGGCAUCGAGGAUAGAUGAAAGGUGGCCUCUACAUGUAAGCUAUCACUGAAGGAGGGGAUUGCGUCUGAUUAGCUAGUUGGAGGGGUAACGGCCCACCAAGGCGAUGAUCAGUAGCCGGUCUGAGAGGAUGAACGGCCACAUUGGGACUUGGAAACCGCCCAGACUCCUACGGGGGGCAGCAGGGGGGAAUCUUCCGAAAUGGACGAAAGGCUGACGGAGCAACGCCGCGUGAGUGAUGACGGCCUUCGGGUUGGAAAGCUCUGUUAAUCGGGACGAAAGGCCUUCUUGCGAAUAGGGAGAAGGAUUGACGGUACCGGAAGAGAAAGCCACGGCUAACUACGUG